GUGCUCGCUUCGACAGCAUAUGCAUUAACAUUGGAAGGAUACACAAAAGAUUAGCAUGGGCCCCGCGCAAAGACGACAGGCAAAUUUGUGACAUGUUUCAUAUAUUU
ensembl:snRNA U6 U6 spliceosomal RNA